UACAGCCAUAUCAUGUUGAAACACCGGUUCCCAUAUGAUCAGUGAAGUUAAGCAGUAUCAAGCAUGGUCAGUACCUAGAUGGGUGACCUCUUGAGAAUACCAGGUGCUGUAAG